GUGUCGCUAUUUAUAAUUGCUGGAAUUCCCUUUAAAAUCCGAUUCAGGCUUAUAGUUUCCAUAUUUGAAACAUUUUCAUUUCUGCUUUUCUGGAUAAAUUCUGUAUUUUCACGAGUAAGAUGGCUACACUAGUUAUGGAAGUCUUACAGGAAGAGAGAAGGAGGUUACAGGAGCUUACACUUUGUAAGGUUUGUCUGGACGCCAGCAUAUCCUGUGUAUUACUACCGUGUGGGCACUUUGUCUGUUGUUCUGACUGUGCUCCAGCUCUGAUAACAUGCCCAGCUUGUCAGGGGAAAAUCACGGACUUCCUACACGCCAAAGUAGAUUGAAAUGAAGGAAAAUGACUUGUCACUCCUUUCACUGUUUAAGGAGUCCUAAAUAGUUUUGAAAUAUUUAAAGUUACAAUCAUUUUCCUGGUAGGGAAAUAAAUUAUAUUAUAUUUUCAUGCCUUAGAUUUCAAUAGUUUCCUCGACAGUUUUUUAAAAAGAACAAGGAAAAUAUUUUUCUGUAUUGAUUUUGACUGACGUGUGUUAAUGUUUAAAUUUAUAUAAUGUCUUUGUUUUGUUGGUUAUUAACAUUUUAAUUCAUCAUUAUUGUACAUAAUGGAACCAAGAUUAAAAAUCAAAUAUGCUCACAAUUUAUGGACUAAAAAUAUAUUUUAGGGAAAGUCCACAGUUUUACGGCUCCGCUUAUAAGUUAUACUUUUAUUCACAAAUCUUAAAAUCCUGGUUAUCAUAACUUUUUUAUGGGAAUGAUUUUUAAGAUGAUGAUUAAUUAUACAGCAAAUAUGUAACUGUUUCUUAUAAAGUCAUUGUCCACACAAGACAUAUGAAAUGUAUUUUUUGUAAAUUAACACUCUGCCUGUUAGAUCUUAAAGUGGUUAUAUACUCACAAAGGCACACUGUUUUUAAUUGCUUGUAUGGACCAUUCUGGAUAUAAUGGAUAUUAUUUAACAAAUCAAUGCAACUCGAGAUACAUAUUUAUUGAUUUUAAGUGUUCUAAUUCUUUAAAUAUAUAUAUUACAUUUUCCAAAUUAUGCAAAGAAUGAUUGUUAUACUUUAUAUCCCCCCCCCCAAAAAAAACAAGUAAAUGUAUACAUGUUGAAACAUUUUCUUUUGUUAAAUGUACUGUCGUGUCGCCCUUUUGGGUGACCGCACUUAAUUUGGGAAUUUAAUUAAAUAACUCGCUGGCGUAGUGAAAGACCCUAAGAUAUGGUUUUGCUUUCCAGCCACCAGGUCCAAUGUAGGUUUGGGUGCGCUGUAAUAUGAAAUAGUCAUAUUGCAGAGUUUAUUUGAUAAAAUAAAUUAUGUCAGAAAGGACAGUACGCAGUCAAUCAUAAUAAAUGUGUAUUUCUAUGAAUCUUAUCAAAUAAAAUUUUAAACAAUUUUAGAGAAUAAAUGGCAUGUAAACAGUAAAGAUUUCAACUGAAAUUUAGGUACUUUGUGAUUUUGUCCUGAAGGACUUGGGCAGAUAGAACAUCAAUUUGUUGUACUUUUCAGCAAAAGUUUUCAGAACUUCUCUAAAAGUUUAUUCUAAAUAUGUCAUUCUUAGGGGUAUAAAAUAUGAACUCACUUUUCUCUUUGUUAAGUUUUGGUUGUUGAAUUUUUAGACGUAUCAAAGUUUUAGUUCAUCAUAUCGUAAGUUUAAUGGUCGCUACAAUGACCUUGUCCGCAAAUAAAAUUUACCACUGAGUCAAAUGCU